rnacentral:rRNA from 1 species
UACAGAGGGUGCGAGCGUUGUUCGGAAUUAUUGGGCGUAAAGGGCGCGUAGGCGGUGCGGUAAGUCACCUGUGAAAUCUCCUGGCUCAACUGGGAGCUUGCAGGCGAAACUGCCGUGCUGGAGUGUGGGAGAGGUGAGUGGAAUUCCCGGUGUAGCGGUGAAGUGCGUAGAUAUCGGGAGGAACACCUGUGGCGAAAGCGGCUCACUGGACCACAACUGACGCUGAGGCGCGAAAGCUAGGGGAGCAAACAGG